AUUUAAUAAAUUAUUAUUUAUAAUUAGUUUAUUUAUAUUUGAAAAAAUUAAUUUAUUGUUUUAUUAUAUUUUAGAACAAAUCUUUUUUGUAAUAGCAAAUUAGUAUUGUAAAAGAAGUUGAUUAAGUUUAUAAUAGAAAAAUUUAAUUUUUGUACCUUGUGUGUCAGGGUUUAUUAAUAAAAUUUUAUUAAUUUAAUUUUCCCGAAUUUAGAUGGGCUAGCUAUAAUAUAUAUUUUAUUGUGAAAUAAAUAUUUAAAAUAUUUAGUUAGAUAUUAGAUGUUAUUCGUUUCUAAAUAUAUCUGGUUUUUUAAGAAAUAAAUUUAAUUUAUCCUGUUUUUAUAAAUUUUCUAUUUUUUAGUUGAUUAAUAUUACAGUGAAAUAUUUUAAGGGAUGAGCUUUAAGGUAAAGUUUUAUAAAAAUAGUUUUUAUUAUAAGAAAAAUAGGAUUAGUAUUUUCCAUUUUUAUAAUAGUGUUAUAAUUAGUCUUUAUUUAAGUUAUUAUUUAUAUUAUAUUUUAAAUUUUUUAUUAAAAUUUAUUUUAGAAUUUGUUUAAGUUAGUAAUAAUGAUGAAAUUAGUAAAGAUUUUUAUAUAAUUAGGUUUUACUUUUUAGUUUAUUUUAAGGAAUUCGGCAAAUAAUUUUUUACCUGUUUAUUAAAAACAUGGCCUUUUGAUUAUAAUUUAAGGUCUAGCCUGCCCACUGAAAUUUUAAAUGGCCGCGGUAUUCUGACCGUGCAAAGGUAGCAUAAUCAUUAGUUUUUUAAUUGAAAGCUGGAAUGAAUGGUUGGAUAAGAAAAUGACUGUCUCUGUUUAAUUAUUUUGAAUUUUAUUUUUAAGUUAAAAAGCUUAAAUAUUAUUAAAAGACGAGAAGACCCUAUAGAAUUUUAUAAUUUUUAAUAAUAAUUUUUUUGGUAUUAUAACUUUUAUUAAUAAAUUUUAUUUUGUUGGGGGGAUAGAAAAAUUUAGUUAACUUUUUUUAAUUAAGUUCAUUGAUUUAUGAAUUAUUGAUCCAUAAAUUGUGAUUAUAAGAUAAAAUUACCUUAGGGAUAACAGCGUAAUUUUUCUAAAGAGUUCAAAUCGAAAGAAAAGUUUGCGACCUCGAUGUUGGAUUAAAAUUAAUUUUUGGUGUAGAAGCUAAAAAUUUUAGGUCUGUUCGACCUUUAAAAUUUUACAUGAUCUGAGUUUAAACCGGUGUGAGCCAGGUUGGUUUCUAUCUUUAAUUGAAUAAAAUAUUUUAGUACGAAAGGACCAAAUAUUGAAUAAUUUAUUUUAUUAUUGAAUUUUACU
rnacentral:rRNA from 1 species